AGCCAACACAAAACAUCUCUGGGAUAUCGCCAAAAAUCUCAUACAAUGCCACCCUGAGAGUACUAAUGCAACUUCGCAUAGAAUACAGUGUGAUUAAACUUUGUAUUCUUUAUUCUCUUGUGACCUCUCAUAGAGUUAUUUUUGUGAAGUAAAAAUUAUAACAUGAAAGUACUUUAGACUCUCAUAUCGAGUCGCAUUAACUCUCAUUUUGGGAGGAAAAUCUGCAAAAUCACAUUGAUUCAUUUGUGAGGCUUAAAAUGACAUAUUUUCUAUUUUUAAACGUAAACUGCUGUUGAUGGCGUCAUUGAACUGCAACGUGGGUGUGGUGUAUCGUGUACCUAUAUUGUGUAGCAACAAGCACGUAGCACUGAGCAAAUAUUUCCUUUUCCAGUUGUGUUCCAGUUGCAUGUUGCCAUUGUUGCGCCUUGUACGUUCAUUAAGAGAAAAUCUACAGCCUAAUAAAAGGUAUCAAGGUAAGUUUAUACACCACAAUUUUUACCUACUGUUUUUUGUUGUAUUGACGUUUGCUGCUUGUGUAAUUAAAAAAUGCCCCGUCGUAACCUCAAACCUAUGCAGUUAUUAAGUUCGCGCCAAAAAAGAAGACGGAAGGCGAGCACUAUUAAUUUCUUUUCACCUUUGCCACAUCCCGUUUGCCAAUCUUCCCUUGAAGCUAUUGAUUCUUUUCCUGGUUGUUUACAAAAUGAUUCAGAUUCCCCGGACCCGGUGCAUAGGCCAGUUUCAUGUCUCGCACCUUCUUUCGAAGAAGAAACAGUUCAUAAUUUGUGCCAACCUUCUUGUUCUACUACUUUCUGUGAUAAUGGCGAAGUGAUUGAUUUGAAUUUACAUGAUAAUUUUAACAACCUCGGAGCUGGGUGUGCCAUCACUUCUCCAACCGUUAUUCACACAUUAUCAGACGAUUUGAGACAGUGGAUAGUGGACACGAAUAUCAGUCAUGAAAAUGCGAAUAGGUUACUUUUCAUACUAAAGAGGCAUGGUAUACAAAAACUUCCAACAGAUGUAAGAAGUCUCCUCAAGACACCACGAGUGAUUAAAACAGUUAGUGUUCCGCCUGGAAAUUAUGUUCAUUUUGGCAUUAAAGAGAGUAUUACAUUCUUUGCAAAAAUAUUACUCAACAAUAGCUCCUCCGGCAACAAUUUAUUUAGAUUUUAAUAUUGAUGGUCUUCCGAUCGCAAAAAGUAGUACAAGUCAGUUUUGGCCAAUUCUCUCUGCAAUUGCAAAGACAGAGUUUUACUGUGAACCUUUCGUAAUAGGUAUUUACCAAAAUUCAAUAAUUCAAAUAAGCCAAAUGAUCCCAAUUAUUUUUAAAAAAUGUUUGUAGAAGACUUACAGGAAUUAAUUUUGUCAGGCAUUUCUUACAAAAAUAUUAACAUAAAAAUUGCACCACAUGUCUUCAUUUGCGAUGAUCCAGCGAGAGCUUACAUUACCCUAGUCAAAAAUCAUACUGGUUAUAAUUCGUGUCAAAAUGCAUCACGGAGGGUGAAUAUUACAGCAAUAAAGUAUUUUUUCCUGAAACUAAUCAAGACUUUACGGACAGACGAAACAUUUAAAAAUAAAGUUGAUGAUGAGUACCAUAAGGGCACAUCAAUAUUGGAAUUAUUAUCAAUAGGAAUGGUUUCUCAAUUUUGCAUCGAUUAUAUGCACUGUGUCUGUUUAGGUGGUACGAAAAAAAUUUUAAAAUUACUAGUCAACGGUAAUGUAAGCGUAAGAUUGCCGAAACCAAAAUUAAUUGAAAUUUCAGCUCGUCUAAAUAUCUUAAAAAAAUAUAUAUGUAGUGAGUUUUGUCGAAAACCUAGAACACUUGACGAAUUGGAUCGCUGGAAAGCUACGGAAUUUCGACAAAUAUUGCUGUACACAGGACCAGUUAUAUUUAAAGAAAUAUUGACUGUUGACCAAUAUAAUCAUUUUCUGUCUUUUAGUAUAGCUAUCAGAAUUUUUGCUCGAACAAACAAAAUCUUUAUUUGUACGCUCACAAAUUGUUAACUUAUUUUGUGCAAAAUUUUGAAUUAUUUUAUGGACUAGAAAAUAUUACUCACAAUGUUCAUAUGUUAACACAUUUUAUUUCAUGAUGUAAAGAAAGUUGGUCCUUUGGACAACUUUAGUGCAUUUAAGUAUGAAAGUAAAUUGUUUAAAAUUAAAAAUAAAAUGCAGUCGUCAUCGAAGCCUUUGCAACAAAUUUACAAUAGAAUUGUAGAAGAGCAAAAAUUAAUACAACCAGUUAUUAGUUCAUAUCCAUAUUUAGAGAAUUUUUUGGGUAUUUCCGAUUCCAAUGAGGAGCUCUUUGAACGAAUUCAGUUCCGAAAUUAUAUGUUAUCCAUUAAGGCACCUAAUAAUUGUUGCUGUAUACAGGAUAUUUUAUUUGAAAUACGUUCAAUUAAAAAAACACACAAUAAGAUAAUAUUGUUAGGUGUCAAGUACCUAAAUACACAACCUUUUUAUUUCGAUCCCUUGAACUCUCUAAUUUUGGGUAUUGGUGUGGUUAAUGAUAACAACAUUCUCCCUGCCACAUAUGAUAUCAGCUGCGUCACCAAAAAAUGUUUAAAGAUGCCUACCGCUUUACCAAAUUCAUAUAUUAUCAUGCCCUUGAUCCACUUAUAAGGAAAUUCCAUUAUGUCUUAUUGAUGCAGUUGAUGAGAAUUAUCAAGAAUACUCCUUGACAUUUUCUAUUUUUUUGAAUAUUAAACUUUCAAUUAAUUUUUAUAUUUAACUUAAUUGUUCGACCACAUUGGCUUAUUAAACUUCAGGUUAUUUAACAAAUGUUAAUUUUAGAAAUCUGUUUGAAAAAUAUCUUUCUUAGAAGCAAACAAGGGUGCAUGGUAUCUGAAAAAUAAGUAAUCUCCAAUUACAUGUCAAAUCGCCAAUCAGUUCACCAGUAUUCUUAAGUUAAAUUAGAAUGUAAAAACUCAGUGAUAAUUUUGCACCAGUACAGUUGUUUUGAUAAUUGAGUACUAAUCCAGUUAAUACUGAAAUUUAGUCUCAUGAUGAAAAAUGACCAGUUUUCAUAAUUCCAAUUUGGACACAGGAAAUACUCGGAACAAUUCCUACGGAUCUAAAUUUUGUUUAAAGAUAAUUCCUCACCUUUCACCUAUAACUAUAAUUAUCCGCGAACUGCUUAUUUGUAAUUUUGAUAUAUAGGUAUGUCAUCUUGCGUAAAACUUGUGACUGCUCUUAAUUCAUUUGCAGAUGCAGCAGUAUGCAGUUGUCCGUUUUUUAAAGGAAUAUAUCAACGGCGAAAAUGUGGUGUCUGAAGUGGCUCUCACUUGGCUACACGACAAUAAUUCAGUGUGUAAAUGGCCACCCAGACAUGAUAGCUAUCACAUAAGAAAAUAUACCGUUCCACAACCAGAUUGGACAGACCAUCCCGUAGAGUGCGAGCGUAUAUGCGACUCUAGAGAAGAAGCUCGCAAAAAAAGUGUACGAGAUCCCGAAGCUGGGAGCAGUACGUCGUCAGAGAUCGACAUGGGGAGGUCAUUAAG